CCUACGGGAGGCAGCAGUGAGGAAUAUUGGUCAAUGGACGAGAGUCUGAACCAGCCAAGUAGCGUGAAGGAUGACUGCCCUAUGGGUUGUAAACUUCUUUUAUAUGGGAAUAAAAUGUUCCACGUGUGGGAUUUUGUAUGUACCAUAUGAAUAAGGAUCGGCUAACUCCGUGCCAGCAGCCGCGGUAAUACGGAGGAUCCGAGCGUUAUCCGGAUUUAUUGGGUUUAAAGGGAGCGUAGGUGGAUUGUUAAGUCAGUUGUGAAAGUUUGCGGCUCAACCGUAAAAUUGCAGUUGAAACUGGCAGUCUUGAGUACAGUAGAGGUGGGCGGAAUUCGUGGUGUAGCGGUGAAAUGCUUAGAUAUCACGAAGAACACCGAAUGCGAAGGCAGUUCACUGGACUGCAACUGACACUGAGGCUCGAAAGUGUGGGUAUCAAACAGGAUUAGAUACCCCAGUAGUC
rnacentral:rRNA from 1 species